CCCGGCGGAGCGGCCGCGGGACGGCGGCACAAAGCGCGGGGGCGGCGCGCUGCCCGGCGGGAGGGUGGUGCGCUUAGGCCUCGGUAGGCCGCAGGGCCGGCACCUAGAGAGGGGGGCGCGAGCGCUGUGAGAAGGCAGAGCUACGCACGUACGGCUCCGUCAGAGAGCCAGGCCGUUAGAAGCACGGUGCUUUACGCGGCCUUUAGGGAGACAAAACCUUUAAACGUAAGGAAUGACGCCUUGUGACAGGUCAAAGUCUCAUUUGAACAACAUCAUUCAAGAAUUUCAGAGCAGGAAGUGGAGGAUCCAGUCUCCAGCUGAAAACGCAGGAGGAAUUUAGGUCGCCGGGUUGGAAUUUGCUCACAGGCUUGGUAACAGCCUUCGCUCUGUGCGCAGCGUUUAUCUGCUGGACCUCACCGUGACAAAGACCAAAAUAUGGCUGGUCAUGGUCAUAGAAUCGUAUCAGAGAAUCAUAGAAUGGCCUGGGUUGAGAAGGACCACAAUGAUCAUGUAGUUUCAACCCCCUUGCUACGUGUAGGGUUGCCAACCACUAUACCAGGCUGCCCAGAGCCACAUCCAGCCUGGCCUUGAAUGCCUCCGGGGAUGGGGAGGGAGUGUCUGCUGUAAAAAGCCAGAGCUCAAAGCUAGCAGUGAUACGUCCUGUUAUUUCCUCUUUUAACAAAGUGAGGGUUAGCUGGGUUUUGCUAAUCGCUGGGAUUAUUUGGGAAGGAAACCUGAAGUACGUCUUUGCAUUAACCCCUCUGACAAAACGGUGCAGCUCCUUCACUGCUGUCCAAAUGCAACAGUUUGCAUGCUGAAAGAGGGGUUGUGUGUGCAUUUUACUCACCAACAAUACAGACAAGCCACAACUGGUGAAAAUCUGUGUCAGUGUAAGCUUAUUGUGUUCAGUUUAGAAAUAUGUGUAAUCACAGAAAUAGCAGCCUUUUCAUCUCAGCGAUUUUCAUGCCUACGAGCGUAUUCUUGUGGCCUCCUUGCUCCUUUUCUUUGCUCCUUGCUAAUUACUUUGGGCUUUCCUUCCUAUUUCCAAUUUAUCCAUUGCGCUCUCCUGGGAAAUGCUUAAAAUCAUUGCGCCUGUAAUACUUGUGAUGUUCCUUGCCUCAGUGCUCUCCCUGCAGCUCCUGACUGAUGACUGACAGCGGUAUGGCUGCACCUCCAGUGGUUUCAGUUGUAUGUUGUUUGACACGUCUCAGUCCUUAAAAAAUAAAUCGCUCUGGUUUCCGAUGCUCCUUUCUUUUUAUUGUGUUAAGUAGCUCCCUUUUAGUGACACACCAAGUACUAUGUGCCUUCUCACUGUUAUGGCUUUUUUGGCAGAGCCGAAUGACACGUCAGUGGAAUUUUAUAAUGUGGGCAAUUGUCCACCAAGAAAUUGACUGUCUGUUCACAUAAAACUCAACAAAAAGAACAGAAGCAAUACUGGUGCAACUUGUAGCAAGUACUCCCUCUCGAAAGGCUCUUUCAGCCAAGAGGAGGAGUGGAAGCUUUGUUUAAUUGAAACCUUAGGUUUGGAACAAACUGAGUACUAAUUGCUCCUCAGCUUCCCGGGACCUUGGUGAAAUUUUUCUUCUUUUAGAUUCCACUUCUUGUACAAUUUGCGGAAACUGCAAUACUUCAUAUAACGAGAUAGAAAUGGUGUGUUUGAUGGGGGGAACAGAACUACGCAUGACUAUUACUUCGUGUUUAUUCUCUUACUUUUGUAUUUGACCUCCAUUCUGUUGUAAAAUUGUAUUCUGAAGCAUGUUGACAGAGCAGUAUUUGCUUGUAGCCGUGCUAAUCAAAGGUCACGGGUAGGCUGAAGUAGACAGCUAUUUAUGGCACCAAAUAAAAGAAGAUAUUGGGACGGCGAUGGCACUUUGUGUCUGCUAAAUGAGGCCUCCUGGCCUCUGGCUCGCAAGCCAGAAUGCCCACCUAGCACUGCUCACACCACUCCAAAGGGAUCGCCUCAGCUCAGCUUAUAUGGCGCUGUUUGGUCUCUGGAAAGUAUUCUCACUUUUUUUUUUUCCCUCCUGGUGCUGCAAAUGUAUGUUACCACUUUAUCUCUGUGGAGCAACUAUGGAAACAAAAAGAUAUGCGUGAGAGGAAACUGCUGAUUAAAGAGUAUCCAUGGCAUGAAGGCAGAAGUUAGUAGGCACGCACUAAACUCCCCAAUUGUUCUCAGAUAGGUGUCCACGCAGAGAACUAUGACAGAAAAAAUGUAUUUUUCGGUAGUCAUUCUGCUUGCUUUCCCUUUGUGCACAACCUUUGCUAUGAUUAGAAAUGCUUUCACAACAUUCUUAGGGGAAAUGUGGGGAACUAAAAUGUUUCCCUGCAGGCUUUCCAGCUCUGCUAUUGCAGCCAGCCUUAUCAAAUAAAAAGUGAAACUAGUCACAAGCAAGCUGGUGGUGUUAAUCAUUAGCUAACCCAAAGAAAUUUAAAAGAAAGCCGAGAAGGACUGAGUCAGAAUGUAGAAAAUCUCUGUGCUAAUAGUUGCAUUUGUUCCCAGUUCUUAAACUCUAAUUAACGCUGUGCUGCUUCACAGACAAAACACACAGAAUUGCUCAAGCAUAUCUUAUGCUAGGAGCAGAAAAGAACAAUAACAU
ensembl:lncRNA